rnacentral:lncRNA from 1 species
GUGUUUUUUAUGUUAAGAUGAACAUAAUUAGAUGAUAAGUAAAAAAUCGCGGAAUUUCCCUUUAAAUUAACUAUAAGAUAACCUUUAAUUGAAUAAUGCAGAGGCUGGAUUUCAAUCCAGCUUUUUACCUUGUCAAAAAAUUAACUUGGAUUUAUACUGUCCCAUUUAUAUACUUAAUUUAAAAUUAAAUAAGUUCAUUUCUGACACUGUAGGAAGUAGGAUCAUGUAGAUGAGGGUUUGAAUCCAGCCUUGAGAAAAGGUCAGUAUCCUAUCAAAAGUAGGUCAAUGCAUUAUAUGUGUUCUUUUCGAUGUCUUUGGUUUAUUUUUAAAUCCAGGUUUAUAUUUUAGUUCUUGUGAAAAGAAUGACAUAUAAGAAUAGCAAAGGAUGCAUCCUUGAUUUAAAGUCAACAUUCAGAGAAAAGUCAAUGCAACCUACAUUUUUCACUUUAUUGACCUUAUUAACCUUUUGCUCCCUAGUUUAUGUUUAAGUCUCCAUUUAUUAUAUAAUCAUUGUGAUAAGUGUUGGAUGUUUGUCACUACGACUUAUAUUUACUGCUUCACUUAUUUUGGUUUUUAUAAAUUUCACCAAGGCUUAUACCUCUCUUUGCAUAAUUUGUUUGUAUUACCUUUUGCUUUUUUUGCUAUAAUGGUAUUGAAUAAUUCAUGUAUAUCAUGCAGAACCAAGCAGACAAUGUAAUUGUAAAUGUACACAUUUCUAUGCAUACUUAUAAUACCACUGUGUUGUUUUGACAUCAUAUAUAAUUACAUGUUUAACUUCCAAGUAAUACCCUACAAUAAUACUCAAAC